AAAGCGUGCGCAGGCGGUUUUGUAAGUUUGUCGUGAAAUCCCCGGGCUCAACCUGGGAAUGGCGAUGAAGACUGCAAGGCUAGAAUCUGGCAGAGGGGGGUAGAAUUCCACGUGUAGCAGUGAAAUGCGUAGAGAUGUGGAGGAACACCGAUGGCGAAGGCAGCCCCCUGGGUCAAGAUUGACGCUCAUGCACGAAAGCGUGGGGAGCAAACAGGAUUAGAUACCCCAGU
rnacentral:rRNA from 1 species